rnacentral:rRNA from 1 species
UAACACAUGCAAGUCGAGCGAGGAGAUCCUCGGGAUGAUCCUAGCGGCGGACGGGUGAGUAACACGUGGGCAACCUGCCUCAUAGAGAGGAAUAGCCUUCCGAAAGGGAGAUUAAUACCUCAUAACAUUGCAGUUUCGCAUGAAACAGCAAUUAAAGGAGCAAUCCGCUAUGAGAUGGGCCCGCGGCGCAUUAGCUAGUUGGUGAGGUAACGGCUCACCAAGGCGACGAUGCGUAGCCGACCUGACGAGGGUGAUCGGCCACAUUGGGACUGAGACACGGCCCAGACUCCUACGGGAGGCAGCAGUGGGGAAUAUUGCACAAUGGGGGAAACCCUGAUGCAAGCAACGCCGCGUGAGUGAUGACGGCCUUCGGGUUGUAAAGCUCUGUCUUCAGGGACGAUAAUGACGGUACCUGAGGAGGAAGCCACGGCUAACUACGUGCCAGCCGCUGC